UAGGGAAUCUUCCGCAAUGGACGCAAGUCUGACGGAGCAACGCCGCGUGAGUGAAGAAGGAUUUCGGUUCGUAAAACUCUGUUGUUAGAGAAGAACAGCGCAUAGAGUAACCGUUAUGCGUGUGACGGUAUCUAACCAGAAAGCCACGGCUAACUACGUGCCAGCAGCCGCGGUAAUACGUAGGUGGCAAGCGUUGUCCGGAUUUAUUGGGCGUAAAGCGAGCGCAGGCGGUCAAUUAAGUCUGAUGUGAAAGCCCCCGGCUCAACCGGGGAGGGUCAUUGGAAACUGGUUGACUUGAGUGCAGAAGAGGAGAGUGGAAUUCCAUGUGUAGCGGUGAAAUGCGUAGAUAUAUGGAGGAACACCGGUGGCGAAAGCGGCUCUCUGGUCUGUAACUGACGCUGAGGCUCGAAAGCGUGGGUAGCAAACAGG
rnacentral:rRNA from 1 species